UGGGGAAUUUUGCACAAUGGGGGAAACCCUGAUGCAGCGACGCCGCGUGAUUUAGAAGGCCUUCGGGUUGUAAAAAUCUUUUCUAUGGGAAGAAAAUGACAGUACCAUAGGAAUAAGGACCGGCUAAUUACGUGCCAGCAGCCGCGGUAAUACGUAAGGUCCGAGCGUUGUCCGGAAUCAUUGGGCGUAAAGGGUACGUAGGCGGGUAAGCAAGUUAGAAGUGAAAUCCUAUAGCUCAACUAUAGUAAGCUUUUAAAACUGCUCAUCUUGAGGUAUGGAAGGGAAAGUGGAAUUCCUAGUGUAGCGGUGAAAUGCGCAGAUAUUAGGAGGAAUACCGGUGGAGAAGGCGACUUUCUGGCCAGAACCUGACGCUGAGGUACGAAAGCGUGGGUAGCAAACAGG
rnacentral:rRNA from 1 species